rnacentral:lncRNA from 1 species
AGGGUUAAAAGAUCAUCAGUCACAAUUUUUCUGCAAAAAUGGUCCUUGCGCUUGCCAAUUUUGUUCUUUUCAACGAUUUUCGCAAUGUCAGCCAAUAGGUUUCUCUCAGAAACACAAGCACAUGGUACCAAACUCUGCUCACAACCACCAAAAAGAAGAACAAAAGACGACAAAAUUCAGAAAACUGGAACCUCACAAUAUCCUUGUGCAACCUGAAAUACGAAUUACCUUGAGGGAAUCACAUGCAUCGGGGCAACUGGUAUGGUUUGAUUCACCGAAGCAAUUGACUGAGUCGGCUUCAUCGUCUGAGCUGUCCGUACCGUUCCCCCUCAAGCACUUGCACCGCUGCCGGCCACACCUCUGCUUAUUGUCACCGCUCUCGUAGAUGAAAUUCUCCACCAUCUUAUCCAAGCAAACAGAACUCAGCUCGAAGUCAUCGCAAUUUUCCCUCCCAAAAUGUGACUCUCCUCCACCGGCGAUGGUUCCUGUUGACUUC